GUGGACUCAUCUCGGCCUAGUUUGGCCUAGGUCCCUCUGCUAAAACCAGGUUUCUGGGCUGACUCUAAAAUGAGCAGUUGAAGUAGCUAAAAACAAAAUGGAGCUAAAAAACAAAGAAUAACCCUAGACGAGGGAAUUAGGACCUUGUUCCGGUCCUGAUUCUGACACUGUGUGACCUUGGACAAGUCACCAUCUUGACAGCAGCUUCCCCUGGGCUGCGCACAGAGAGGUUUCCUGAUGGAGCCAUGCCCAGCACCCACGAGCUGCCUCAUUCUGCCUUUCGCUUCUGCUAAAGAAAACAUAGAAAUGCAGGUAUGAGCUGGUUUCUUACAGAGAUAACUUACAAGCCAAGCAAGUUUAUUUUUUAAAGACAAAGUACCAAAGCCUGCAAGUAAUUUAUUAUUAGUGUCAAAUUACUUGUGACACUCCCGAGGCUGAUGGCAAUAAACCACCGGACCGUAUCUUCAUGGUUGAGAGCAAGUGGGCUGGCCCCUGCCUUCGGCUGGGCUCCCCUCCCUUGUGCUGGCUGCCUCCCAAAAGGGGGGAGAUCUUAUAAGAGAUAGGUGGAGAAGUUUGACUGAAAAAGUAAAAGUUGAACUCUCGUCUGUAAAGGAGAAUCAAUAAGAACGACUACUUCCUCAUGGAUUUGUUGUAAGGAACAAUAAAAUGCUACUGAAUAUAAAGUGCUUUGUAUGAACUGCAAGGAGGUAUUCAGAUGCCAGGACUGGUCUGUGCUGAUUGGAGACUCCACAGAGAGAGCAUGAAGCUGCUAUUUACGCAAACUUUCCCUGGGGGAGUCCACCUGUAUCCUCUAUGAGAGCAUAAUGACGGGUUUCUGUAAGGAGCACUUGCUGCUUGAUUGUUCAGUCUCUGCCUCAUUCUUUCCAUGGAGUGAUUAGCAGCCAAGCAGCAGGAAAUUCCUGUCUCUCAAAAGAGGCAGAAACAGAAAAGCAGAGAGAAACGGAUACUGACAGAAAGGAGAAACUACCAGAUAGUUCCCCAUCUCUAUCCAACUACUUGGGCUCAACUCUCACUUCAAUCAGCCGCUUAAGGACCGACAGGCUGUGGAAGACUCAGUUAAGUAGAAGAUUUGUGAAUGAGCUACUGUUAUGCGAAGUUUGAAGAAAGAAAGUCUUCACCACCCAAAUCCAGAAAUCACUCUAAAAAGGAAUGUUUCUGUGCCUUGAAGGGAGGAGGUUAGGGAGAUCCCUGUGAGCUGUGCCCCACUGAACCCAAUGGUAUGUUUAUCAUGUGCAUUUCUCCUUGGGCCAUUCCAGGUGCAGACUGGCUAUGAAAUAAGUAAGAUUGUAG
rnacentral:lncRNA from 1 species